rnacentral:rRNA from 1 species
UCAAGAAACUUCCACAAUGGGCGAAAGCCUGAUGGAGCGACGUCGCGUGAUGGACGAAGUGCUUCGGCACGUAAACAUCUUUUAUGUGGGAUGAAAUUAUUGACAGUACCACAUGAAUAAGGGGCUCCUAACUCUGUGCCAGCAGGAGCGGUAAUACAGAGGCCCCAAGCGUUAUCCGGAAUCACUGGGCGUAAAGGGUGUCGAGGCGGUUGUAUUAGUCGUUCGUAAAAUCUACGAGCUUAACUUGUAGGCGGCGAACGAAACGGUACGACUUGAGGUUUGGAGAGGUGCGUGGAACUCACGGUGUAGGGGUGAAAUCCGUUGAUAUCGUGGGGAACACCAAAGGCGAAGGCAGCGCACUGGCCAAAAUCUGACGCUCACACACGAAAGCUAGGGUAGCGAAGAGGAUUAGAUACCCUGUAGUCCCUGAGCGGGCUGGCAAGGCGCAU